UAUUUUGACUAUACGAAGGUAUUGAAAUAAGGCUUUAAAUGAGUGCUAAGAGAAUGGUUAAACAAUUAUUAACUUUCUUUAAUUUAAAAAUUGAAGUUAAUUUUUUUGUGAAGAAACAAAAAUAAGAAUUAGGGACAAGAAGACCCUAUGAAUUUUAAUUUUGCUUAAUUAAAAAAAAAAUUAAGCAAAAUUUGAUUGGGGCGAUGGAAAAAGAAUAUAUAUCUUUAAUAUUGUUAGAAAAAAUUAGUUCCAUUAAUAAUGAUUAAAUGACAAAAAUACUCUAGGGAUAACAGCGUUAUAAUUUUGGAUAGUUCAUAUAGAUAAAGUAGUUUGCGACCUCGAUGUUGGAUUAGGAUUCUUUUUUGGUGAAGAAGUUAAAAAGAAGAAGUUUGUUCAACUUUUAAAUUCCU
rnacentral:rRNA from 1 species